GGCUAAGCAGUCCUGGUUCAAUCCCUGGUACCAAAAAUAAAUAAAUAGUAAAGAAAAAUAGGUGGAAAAUAGAAAAUUAGAUUUCCAGUGCAAAAGGUACCUAGUCAAACUAUUAAACAAGAAUGGAUAUUGAAGGAAGUCAUUUUCAAAGAUUAAAUAUUUAAAUAAUUAAGCUGACACAUACCCUUUUUCUAAAAAGUACUGGGAAAUAUGCUCCACCAAUUGAAAGACUAAAUCCAUCAAGAGUAAGGCAUAAGAUACAGGCAACAGGAGACGCAAUACAAAAGAAAUGACAAGGAGUCUCAUGGAGGACUAGGAAAAGUGAUCCCAAUAUGACAGCUGUGCUCCAGAAGUGGAGGGCAGCUGACUCAUACUGUAGCAAUGUGACCCAAGUGAUAGAUUGUUACCACCAAUGCCCCCCACUUCCAUUCAGCCAUCUUUUUUAACCCCUAAGACAGUCCCCUGGAAAGUUUGGCAAGUUCUCAGCACUUGAAUGGUCUUGAUCAUGUGCUGAUGUUCUCCCCUCCUGCUCUGCUGAGGAUAUUCAUAUCACAUAAGAAAGUUCUUGGCUUUUCUUCCCAGAGCUGUAGGUGGACCAUGGUGAACCUAGAAGUAGAAAAAAUGAAGCAGCCCUCUUCCUCUGAACAUAUUUCUGCUGCUAUCUAGAACCUGCUUCAUACCUCAGCCUUGUCAAGCACCCAGCUAUGCUGAACUGUUUUCCCAAGAUGCC
rnacentral:lncRNA from 1 species